GGAACAUGAAUAUAUGUUCAGAAUCCCUAACCCUAACCCUAACCCUAGAAAGGUUAUCAAAUUGUGGUGUAA